AUAGAACGCUGGCGGCAUGCUUUACACAUGCAAGUCGAACGGUAACAGGCCGCAAGGUGCUGACGAGUGGCGAACGGGUGAGUAAUGCAUUGGAACGUGCCCAGUCGUGGGGGAUAACGCAGCGAAAGCUGUGCUAAUACCGCAUACGAUCUAUGGAUGAAAGCGGGGGACCGUAAGGCCUCGCGCGAUUGGAGCGGCCGAUGUCAGAUUAGGUAGUUGGUGGGGUAAAGGCUCACCAAGCCAACGAUCUGUAGCUGGUCUGAGAGGACGACCAGCCACACUGGGACUGAGACACGGCCCAGACUCCUACGGGAGGCAGCAGUGGGGAAUUUUGGACAAUGGGCGCAAGCCUGCUCCAGCAAUGCCGCGUGCAGGAGGAAGGCCUUCGGGUUGUAAACUGCUUUUGUACGGAACGAAAAGGUUUGGGUUAAUACCCUGGGCCGAUGACGGUACCGUAAGAAUAAGCACCGGCUAACUACGUGCCAGCCGCCGCAGUAA
rnacentral:rRNA from 1 species